CCCCUCUGUACAUCACUUUGACAAUAAAUAAAAAAAAAAAGCAGCAGCAACAACAGCAGCAUUGGAGACAGUCAGAACACUGAAGAACGAACUUGACUUCACUGACAUUUACAGGAUUCUGUCCUGAGAAUUUCAGAAUAUAAAAUCUUUUCCAGUGUAAUGGAACGUUUAACAAAAUAGAGCAAAUGCCAAGCCAUAAAGCAAGUCUCAACAGAUUUCAAAGGGCUGAAGUAAUAGCAACAAUGUUUUCUGGCUUUAGUAGGAUUAUGAUAAAAUCAGUAACAGAAAGAAAAUUAGAAACUUCCAAAUUUGUUAAAAUUAAGUAAUACAUGCUGAAUGGCCUAUAAGCUAAAUUAGAAAAGUUACAUCUUACAAACAUAAAGUUGGGUAAUAGAAGCCAAGCAUAAAGAAGUACAUUCUGUACAAUUUUAAUUACAGAAAGUCCCACAAAGUCUUUGAUGAUAAUUAAAAUAUUUGCUUUUUUGUGGGUAGAUUACUAUUGCAGAGGUUCCUAAGAUACUGAUAAUAUUCUAGAUUAUAAUGUUUUGUGUGUUACAGGGGUAUAUCUCAGCAAAAACUGAAAACUUGUGUAUCUUAACCGAGCUCACUGGCUCACAAGUAUAAUUAUAGAUACUCGGGCUAAAUCUGAGGAUGGACAGGAAAGUACAUGAGAUUUUUGUCUCUAAUUAACCACACAAAAGACAGAGCUAGAGCUGUGGUACAAGUGAUAGAGUGCCAGCUCGAGGAACAAAGCUAAGGGAUAAGACCCCGGCCCUAAACUGAAGCCUCAAAACAGCACAACAUUUUU